rnacentral:rRNA from 1 species
AGUUUGAUCCUGGCUCAGGACGAACGCUGGCGGCGUGCCUAAUACAUGCAAGUAGAACGCUGAAGACUUUAGCUUGCUAAAGUUGGAAGAGUUGCGAACGGGUGAGUAACGCGUAGGUAACCUGCCUACUAGCGGGGGAUAACUAUUGGAAACGAUAGCUAAUACCGCAUAACAGCAUUUAACCCAUGUUAGAUGCUUGAAAGGAGCAAUUGCUUCACUAGUAGAUGGACCUGCGUUGUAUUAGCUAGUUGGUGAGGUAACGGCUCACCAAGGCGACGAUACAUAGCCGACCUGAGAGGGUGAUCGGCCACACUGGGACUGAGACACGGCCCAGACUCCUACGGGAGGCAGCAGUAGGGAAUCUUCGGCAAUGGGGGCAACCCUGACCGAGCAACGCCGCGUGAGUGAAGAAGGUUUUCGGAUCGUAAAGCUCUGUUGUAAGAGAAGAACGUGUGUGAGAGUGGAAAGUUCACACAGUGACGGUAACUUACCAGAAAGGGACGGCUAACUACGUGCCAGCAGCCGCGGUAAUACGUAGGUCCCGAGCGUUGUCCGGAUUUAUUGGGCGUAAAGCGAGCGCAGGCGGUUUAAUAAGUCUGAAGUUAAAGGCAGUGGCUUAACCAUUGUUCGCUUUGGAAACUGUUAGACUUGAGUGCAGAAGGGGAGAGUGGAAUUCCAUGUGUAGCGGUGAAAUGCGUAGAUAUAUGGAGGAACACCGGUGGCGAAAGCGGCUCUCUGGUCUGUAACUGACGCUGAGGCUCGAAAGCGUGGGGAGCAAACAGGAUUAGAUACCCUGGUAGUCCACGCCGUAAACGAUGAGUGCUAGGUGUUAGGCCCUUUCCGGGGCUUAGUGCCGCAGCUAACGCAUUAAGCACUCCGCCUGGGGAGUACGACCGCAAGGUUGAAACUCAAAGGAAUUGAC